UGUAAAUGAUGUUUCUCACGAUGGUCUUCAUAUGUUGCAGUUGAUGAUACCAUAAAAAGUUUUCUGAUACACAGAU